GUCCCUAAGGAGCUAGAAAUAGACUACAUUAAGGAGGAUCUGACCGCUCAGGCCCUCCCGAUAGUUAGUGUGCACCGGAUGCACAGCGGGCGGGGCAAACAGCCCUAUAAUAUGAUACUCGUGGCGUUAGAACCCACCCCGGAGGCCAAAAAGAAGAUCGCAUGUCUCACGACAAUUUGCGGCCUAUCCGGGAUCUCGAUCGAAGCCCCCCAUAAGCGUGGCACUCCCGGACAGUGCUACAGGUGCCAACUCUAUGGCCACUCAGCGCGUAAUUGCCACGCGCGCCCCCGCUGCGUGAAAUGCCUCGGCGAUCACGCUACGUUAGAUUGCGUUAGAGAUAGGGAAACCGCGACCGAACCUCCCAGCUGUGUCCUAUGCCUUAAGCAAGGGCACCCCGCGAACUACCGUGGAUGUCCCAGGGCUCCGCGGAAACGUCCAACCCACCCAGCUCCGCGAACCGUCGGCCCAAAGACUUCGGCACCUUCAGUGCCGAAACCCGCCUUCGUGCCGGCUGCAGUUCCCACGGUCUCGGCGUGGAAAAAGCCGCUGCCGUAUACGAAGGCGGGAACGGAAACCGCACCCCCGCCCCCGCUCGCGACACGCCCCGCGCCUCAGCCCCUGCUCGCACCUCGCCCCGCGCCCGCGUUCCGUCCCCCGCAACCCUCUGCCGCCAACGACUUCGCGCUCGUGCGCGACUUCGUCACCGCGGUGAACUUCGACCGUCUGCGAUCGUUCGCUGACGCUAUCCGUAGGUCGACAACCCCCGAACAGCGGCUCGCGGCCGCGUUCGAUCACAUGGACGUUUACGAGUCCGUGUCGCGUACGUUAUAAAAUCUUUACCGGUAAUCAAUGGCGCAAAAAGGUAGAGAAAAACCGUAUUCCCUUACGUUAGCAUUCUAUAAUGCUAACGGACUCGCGCGGCAACGCGAUCAAAUUUUUGAAUUCCUCCGCGAUAAUCUUGUAGAUAUUCUAUUAGUGCAGGAAACCUGUCUGAAGCCCUCGCGUCGCGACCCGAAAGUCGCGAACUACGUCAUGGUUAGGAAUGACAGACUCACCGCCUCCAAAGGCGGGACUGCCAUUUACUAUAGGCGGGCCCUGCACGUUGUCCCUCUCGAUACUCCCUCGCUCUCACAUAUCGAGGCGUCAGUGUGCCGUAUCUCGCUGACGGGACACCAGCCGAUCGUCAUCGCAUCCGUUUAUCUCCCCCCGGACAAGCCCCUUCUGAGCAGUGACAUCGAGUCACUGUUCGGCAUGGGAGACUCCGUCAUCCUGGCAGGCGAUUUAAAUUGCCACCACACUAGGUGGAACUGCCAUCGUACUAACGUUAACGGUAGGCGUCUCGACGCGUUUAUAGACGACCUCACCUUUGAAAUAGUCGGUCCCCCAACUCCAACAUGUUAUCCGUAUAACAUCGCGCUCCGUCCGAGCACUAUAGACCUGGCAUUGCUUAGGAACGUAACUCUGCGCUUGCGUUCCAUCGAAGCAAUGUCAGAGCUCGACUCAGACCACCGACCUGUCGUUAUGCAGCUCGGUCGCCCCCACAACCCAGUCACUGUUACGAGGACCAUGGUGGAUUGGAAUAAGCUGGGCACGUGCCUAGCCGACACCGCUCCGCCAAUCCUCCCUUACGGCCCGGAUUCGAAUCUAUCCCCCGAGGACACCGUCGAAUCCGUAAACAUCAUUACCGAUCACAUCUCUUCCGCGAUCAUUAGAUCUUCUAAAGAAGUCGAUGUGGAGGACAGCUUCCACCGCAUCAGACUGUCUCCCGAUCUUAGGAAUCUCUUAAGAGUUAGGAACGCGGCAAUCCGGGCCUACGAUCGUCUUCCCACGCAUUCAAACCGGAUUCAGAUGCGUCGUCUACAACGCGAAGUCCACUCCCGCUUAAGCGACGCGCGUAACGAUAAUUGGCAUAGUUAUUUAGAACAACUCGGGCCCUCCCACCAAGCAUACUGGCGACUAGCUAGGACUCUCAAAUCCGAAACUACCGCUACUAUGCCUCCCCUCGUACGCCCUUCAGGCCAACCACCGGCAUUCGAUGACGAAGACAAGGCUGAGCUGCUGGCCGAUGCACUGCAAGAGCAGUGCACCACCAGCACUCAACACGCGGACCCCGAACACACCGAGUUAGUCGACAGGGAGGUCGAGCGCAGAGCUUCCCUGCCGCCCUCGGACGCGUUACCCCCCAUUACCACCGACGAAGUUAGAGACGCGAUCCACAACCUACAACCUAGGAAGGCACCCGGCUCCGACGGCAUCCACAACCGCGCGCUUAAACUCUUGCCAGUCCAACUGAUAGCAAUGUUGGCUACAAUUUUAAAUGCCGCUAUGACGCACUGCAUCUUUCCCGCGGUGUGGAAAGAAGCGGACGUUAUCGGUAUACAUAAGCCGGGCAAACCGACAAACGAAACUUCUAGUUACCGUCCGAUUAGUCUCCUCUCGACGAUAGGAAAAAUUUACGAACGGCUCCUUAGGAAACGCCUCUGGGAUUUUGUUACCGCGAACAAAAUUCUCAUAGACGAACAGUUCGGAUUCCGCUCAAAACACUCGUGCGUACAACAAGUGCACCGCCUCACGGAGCACAUUCUGAUAGGACUAAAUAGGCGUAAACAAAUCCCGACCGGCGCCCUCUUCUUCGACAUCGCGAAGGCGUUCGACAAAGUCUGGCACAACGGUUUAAUUUAUAAACUGUACAACAUGGGAGUGCCAGACAGACUCGUGCUCAUCAUACGAGACUUCUUGUCGAACCGUUCGUUUCGAUAUCGAGUAGAGGGAACUCGUUCUCGUCCCCGUCAACUGACUGCCGGAGUCCCGCAAGGCUCCGCGCUCUCCCCGUUAUUAUUUAGUUUGUAUAUCAAUGAUAUACCCCGGUCUCCGGAGACCCAUCUAGCGCUCUUCGCCGAUGACACGGCUAUCUACUACUCGUGUAGGAAGAUGUCGCUGCUUCAUCGGCGACUCCAGAUCGCAGUAGCCACCCUGGGACAGUGGUUCCGGAAGUGGCGAAUAGACAUCAACCCCACGAAAAGCGCAGCGGUGCUCUUCAAAAGGGGUCGCCCUCCGAACAUCACUUCGAGCAUCCCACUCCGUAGUAGGCGCGCAAACACCUCCGCCGUUAGUCCCAUCACUCUCUUUGGCCAGCCCAUUCCGUGGGUCUCGAAGGUCAAAUAUCUAGGCGUCACCCUCGACAGAGGGAUGACAUUCCGUCCCCAUAUAAAAACGGUACGCGACCGCGCCGCGUUUAUUCUAGGACGACUCUAUCCAAUGCUUUGUAGUCGAAGCAAACUGUCCCUCCGUAAUAAGGUAACUCUCUACAAAACUUGUAUACGCCCCGUCAUGACGUAUGCAAGCGUAGUGUUCGCUCACGCAGCCCGCACCAACUUGAAAUCCCUUCAGGUUAUUCAAUCACGAUUCUGCAGGAUAGCCGUCGGAGCGCCUUGGUUCCUUAGGAAUGUGGAUCUCCACGACGACCUGGAGCUCGACUCUUUUAGUAAGUAUCUACAGUCGGCAUCGCUGCGCCAUUUUGAGAAGGCGGCACGACAUGAGAACCCUCUCAUCGUAGCCGCUGGAAAUUACAUACCCGACCCAGUAGACCGAAUGGUAAACCGUCGACGUCGCCCAAAGCACGUCAUUACGGAUCCUCCUGAUCCAUUAACGGUGCUUUUAGGCACCACAAGCACCGGUCACCGUCCUCGUCGAACCCGUCGCUUGCGACGAAGGGCUCGACGAGCGAACUAACCCAUAGACACAGCCCACUGAGUUUCUCGCCGGAUCUUCUCAGUGGGUCGCGUUUCCGAUCCGGUGGUAGAUUCAGCGAAGCACUGCUCUUGCUAGGGUCAGUGUUAGCAACUCUCCGGUUGAGCCCCGCGAGCUCACCUACUAACGUUAGGGUGAAGCUGAAAUAGCCUCUCAAGGCUAUCAGCAUAGGUAGGAAGAAAAAAAAAAAAAAAAAAAAAAAAAAAAAAAAAAAAAAAAAAAAAUAAAAAACUAAUCAAGACAAGACUAUCUGAUAUUAUUAUAUACACACGAAAAUAUUGACCAAUAGGCUAAGAAUAAUAAUUAACUUAAAACAAGAAUCUGCGAAUCAAAAUGGUCGACAGAUCGAAAACCAGACAGCUUGAAUUUUCCACAUUCAACCGAGGGUAUUUUUUUUUUCAAUAUUGUGAGAGUGGAAACAUUGCCUCGGGGAUCCGGUAUCUUUUAUUCAGGCGGAAAAAAAACGUGAAUAAAACCUACUAUUUUUAGACUUUUUCGUAUUGGAUCGGGCUCUUUGUAGCUCUGUGGUUUCGUUUUAUGACAUGUGUGUGUCGACAAAGGCUAUACAGAAAUGUUUUAUUAAUAAGGAUUUUUUUUUAAUAAUGAAAACAAAGCCUUUUUAUAUUUUUUUUAAUUUUAAUGCAAUUUAUUUGGGUCAGAGUAUUUUAAAUUAUCUUCACGAACAUUAAUAUGCUACGGAAUGUAUUGCAAUACUAGGCAGAUUCGUGGUAUGCUAUUGCUUACGGACAAAAAAGACGCCUUUUUGACCAUAAAAACUUAUGUUACAGUACGUAACACGACGCUAUUUCUUCAUCAUUAAUCAUGUAAGUCGUUCUUGAACAUCUGAUGAUGAACAGAAGUUUCUAUUGAAAGCUUUCGCACUAAACACUCAAGCCCUUCAAAACCAAUUAGAAACUUUGAAACCCCACAACAAAAUAAUUUGUAUUACGAAAUCAAAAAGAGCUUUGAUUUUGAUUUGUAAUACAAAAAAAUUGUAAUAGCAGAGCCAUUUCCUGAGAAAAUAUUUUUUAAUUGAAAUUGGCUGCAACGACUUUUUAAACAAAUAGAGCGGAAUCGAGAAUGGAGUUGUAGCAAAUUACUUCUAUUAACCUUUUGGGACUGUUUAAGUACAUUUACGUAAAACAUAUAUAUUACAAAUAUUUAGUAAAAAUAUUUUAACUAAAAAUAAAGAAAAUUAAACAGAUUUGUUGGAUGCUUGGGUUUCUUCAAUAAAACUUCCACAAUCGAUUU